GACAGUUUUGUGUGAGUGUCGGU
rnacentral:siRNA from 1 species